rnacentral:rRNA from 1 species
UUCUACACCAAAAUAUAAUUUUAAUCCAACAUCGAGGUCGCAAACUAUAUUAUUAAUAAGAACUCUCCAAUAUAAUUACGCUGUUAUCCCUUAGGUAACUUAAACUUUUAAUCAUAAAAUAUGGAUCAAUAAAAUCAUAAAUAAAUGAAUAAAUAAAAAUAAAGUUUUUGAAAAUUAUCUGUCACCCCAACCAAAAUUAAAUAUAAAUUCACAUAUAUUAAACAAAUUAUAUAGAUAGAUACCUAAUUAAAAUUCUAAAGGGUCUUAUCGUCUAAUAAAAAAAUUAAAGCUUUUUAACCUUAAAAUAAAGUUUUAAAUAAAAAAUGAAAAAAGAAUAUACUUUAUCAAACCAUUCAUACAAGUUACCAAUUAAGUAACAAAUGAUUAUGCUACCUUUGCACAGUUAAAAUACUGCGGCCAUUAAAAAAUCAUUG